UCGUAAGAUUAAUAUAGUGAUUAGUGCAAAAAAAGUUGCUUCACGGUUAAACCUGUAAUUCUGAUGCUCUGUUACAGAUAAACAACCACGGACCGACGAUAUCACUGUACACGAUUUUGAACCCCUGAAGGUGAUAGGAGAAGGAGACUUUAUGGAAGGUGGAGAUUUAUGUAAGCUUCUGUUCCACAAACGUAAAUUUCGAGAGGGCGAUGUUAAAUUCUAUACAGCCGAAAUCGUCCUCGGUAUCGAACACCUGCACAAGAUGGGCGUCAUCUACCGCGAUCUAAAACUCGAGAACAUCCUCAUAGACUCCAGUGGCCACUUGAGGAUCACUGAUUACGGCCUCUGUAAGAAGUUCCACCCUCGUCAGAAGAAUAAACGUGAAUAUACCUUCUGUGGCACUCCCCAUUACAUAGCUCCUGAGGUGAUCAAACAGGAAGAACAUACCAAGGCGGUUGAUUGGUGGAGUCUAGGCAUCAUGGUGUAUGAGAUGCUAAAAGGAGCCACGCCAUUUGAAGAAGAGGAUGAUGAGAGUGACAACUACAUGAGGCUUUACGACCGAAUUCUGACGCAAGAUCCGGUGAUCCCGACGAAGUUUUCCGCUAAGGCGAAAGAUUUCGUCGUAGGAUUGUUAAGUAAAGAUCCAACGAAGCGUCUUGGUGCAGGCAAGAACGGAGUGGAUGACAUUAAGAGGCACCCGUUCUUCAACAAAAUCAACUGGGCUGAUAUGGCUCGAAAAGCCAAGAAAGCUCCGUUUGAGCCGGUUUACGAUGACGAAAUGAUCCUCGGCGCCAAGGAUAAUCACCUCCCGCCAUCCCCUGCUCGAUCCCAGGAUCGUGUCACUUCAUGCUCAGAUACACAAACGACGGAGAUUCCUGCAGCGCAAACAACACCUGCGGCUGUCGGGAAGACUCCGUCACAGAAGAGGAAACUGAGCAGGUCAGAAGAUGGCGGGAGGCCAAGUAAGAGACCACGACCACCAACGCCGGUGGUCGACCUGACAAAUGACAGCGCGACCAGGCGCGACCAGGCCACGGAAUAACGAUGCAGGUAUAAAGACUGCGCCACGAAAGAGGACGUUGAGCAGCUCAGGAGACAGCGAAAGGCGAACUAAGAGACCACGACUACCAACGCCGGUGGUCGACCUCCCAAAUGACAGCGCGACCAGUCCACGGAAACAACUAUGCAGGUUCUGUCUGAGUGGUCCAGAAAGAUGAAAGAGCUCUCUCAGAACACGAGAGUCGUCUCGAACAGAACGAGAUUCACGAUUCAAAAUGUAACAGACCUCCA